AUGUCAGCUCUAGUCUGACAACGUUCUGUCGCUAACUUAUAACAAAUGUUAAUUCAUAACAUAAUUGUAAAAAUUAACGCUUUAAAUGCGCAUAUCCUUUCUUUUCAGCCUUGGAAUAUCAAAUGCAGCUCUCUGGCUGUGAUAGUGAGCGAAUUAACUGAACGUAAACACUGCAAUGGCUAAUUAUUAGUUCCGUGUUGGAUAUGAGAGUUUUACGUUCACUGCUGUGCUCCUCUGCUCCGCUACUCUGUGUUUUUCGUGUUCGUUUCUGGGACCGUAUGGUUUCUAAACGGAAAGCAUGGUUGUCCUUAUCCGUCCAGCGUUGGUGCACUUCGGAAGCUUCUGGGUUGUCAUCCGAUCAUCUGAGCUCUGGACCUGACAAAUACCAGCAAUUAAAGAAGCAUUUUGUAAGGAAACUGAAGGCAACAUACCACAGGUUCCACAGUAUACCUGAUUACUCCGUGGUGUGCGGAUGUCACCAUGUGUACUUCAUCAAAGCUGACGGCAUCUACAGAACAGACAAAAGAGAUCGUACUGCAGAGCCUGAGCAGGUGUUAAAUCUGGAACAUGCAUCGAGGGCAGAAAGGAGGACGAGAGCUAAGAGUGAAGGGAAGGUUCAGUGGACAAUUCAGAGAAUUCGUCUGUCUCCACAUGAAAAGCAUCUCGCUGCCACUCUGAAAUGUUGUCACACAGAAGAGCUGAAGUGUGUUGUUGUGAGACUUGGAGAGAGAAAUAUUUCCAUUUUGCCCCCCCACUACAUCCUUCUGGAGCUACAGAGCGUCUUCAGCUUUGAGUGGGCGACGGAUGAUGUCCUGUUUUACACAACUCUGGAAGGCCUGAGCUCCAGCUCAGUGUUUCGCCUGGACCUCGCCUCCGAAGGCAGCGGCAAAGUAACGUCCGUGUACGAGGAAACUCAGCCUGAUGUGUUUGUGGAGGUCGCCCUGUCCAGAGACCGACAGAUCCUCACCAUUAACUGCAACAGUAGAACAAGUUCAGAGGUGAUGCUGAUUGAUGUGACAAAGUCCCGUUUAGAGCCUUUUGUGAUUCAGCCUCGUCAGCUGGACCUCCUCUAUCAUGUGGAGCACUGGAAAGGAUCGCUCAUUAUACUGGCUAAUACUGGGCCAGGACAGGAGUACCAGGUGAUGCAAUCUCCCACAUCUGAGCCAUCAAUGGCUUCGUGGGCGUCUUUAUUUGUCCCUAACCCUGACACUACAAUCAAAGACAUGGACGUAGUUGGAGACUACUGUUUGUUGGUUCUAAGGACACCAGCCAAUGAACUCGCUUUAAGCGUGAUGUCACUGCGCAAUCCCAAAGAAACAUACAUUAUAGAGCUCCCCUCCUGGGCUUGCUCUAUUGAAACCAAGAAACUGGGCUUGGCAGACCGGCAAGACGUGUUAGAGUUCCUGUUAUCAUCUCCCGUCCACCCACCUGUCCCAUUCUCGCUGGAUCCUGAGAAAGGACUCCUGUUGUCAGACUCAGGAACUCAGGCCCACUCUGAGAGUCACGACAAGUACAUCACCACACGCUUGAAGGCCUGCAGCCAAGAUGGCACUUUAGUGCCAGUGACGCUCCUCCAUGCCGUAUCUGUGGAGGAUCUGAGUCAGGCACCUUUGCUUGUACAUGUAUACGGAGCUUAUGGUAGAAACCUCAGUAUGGAGUUCUGCCCAGUGAGGCGUUUUCUGUUGGAGCAAGGCUGGGCGCUGGCCUACUGUCAUAUUAGAGGCGGGGGGGAGCGUGGCCUCUCUUGGCACAGACAAGCCCGGGUGGAAGGGAAGCGGAGGGGAGUGGAGGACCUCCAGGCCUGUCUCCAGAAGCUUUUCUCUUCGGGAGUCUCCUCUGCUUCACUCACGGCCCUCACAGCCUGCAGUGCUGGAGCCGUACCAGUGGCGGCGCUGUGCAACUGGAAGCCAAACACUAUGCGUGCUGUGACGCUGCAGGCUCCUUUUCUCGAUGUGUUGGGAACCAUGGAGAAAGCUGCUCUGCCGCUGACUGUGGAGGACAGAGAUGAGUGGGGCGACGCAGUGGGAAACCUGAAUCACAGACACAUCAUCGCUUCAUACUGUCCCCUUCACAACAUCACUCCGCAGCGCUACCCAUCUAUGCUACUGACAGCCUACAGCGGUGAUCCCAGGAUUCCUCUGGAAGGUGUCCUCAAAUAUGCCAAAUAUACAAAGAAAGCCAUUCAUAUGCACUUAAACAGGGAGCAAAAUGCAGAUUGUGAAUCGGCACCAAGCAUAGUUCUGAACGUUCAACCAGGAGCAAACCAUCUUGGGCCUGAAGACUUUGUUCAGAUGCUGGAAGAGUAAGUCGUCGGUGUGCCGGGGAGGGUCAGUAGCAUCAGGUUGAUGGCACGAACAUACAUCCGACCGGCACUGGAGCCGAUUCUAGGCCUGUCAUGGUUUCCGACCUGGUUGCAGUGGAGAAGAAUUAAGUGAAUAUUUACCACCCAGUUGGGCCAUUUUCCGCUGGGCAUGUUGGACAUCCAGAGGUCAACCAGAUGUUUAGCCCACCAGCCGCUGGUGUUCUGAGGCAGGUCCAGCAGGUUGGGCUGAUGGAAUGCAAGUAGAAAACAAAUACAAGACUCCGACUUUGAAGCAGAACCGAGGGAAAGUUUUCCUCUAGCUUUACAGCCGGUUCCAAGACCCAGCGUUACAUGUUUAACUGAAUCAACCUGCUUCGCUCCUCAAUUUCCGUUUAAAGGCCAGUGACUCACAGCUGAUGCGCCGGGUUGCGUGGGUAACUCCAAACCACUCGGCUUACAUCGUCACCGAACAAACGAGCCAUUAUGCCAACCACUAACUCACAAACACGGUGGUGUUUUUGUAGUUAUUAUUACCAGCCAUAAACAUUUAAAGCAGUUAUAAAAAGCCACAGAUAGGUUUAUAGCUGCAUUUCCAAUUUUACAACAGACCAUAAAUUACUUUUGUUUGAUAGUCUACAGAUGUAAAACUCUGUAAGUGUGAUCUAAAAUCAAAGUCUGAGUCAGUCCCAGCAUUACAGCAUUAGUCCACAGUGGUCAGUAAAUCCCAGUGACUUGCUAAUCUUCUAAAAUAUGCUUCUUUUCUACUAAUCUUUUCUGUCGGGGAGGAGGGGUGGAAAGAAAACUGCCUCCGCAAGGUUUUCUUUACUUAUGUCAGAGUGUGUCAUUAAGUCUUUGAAUUGCAAUUACAGUGUUUUCUUAAGAAAAGCGCAGGAUGAACCUGACAUUUAAGCCAGCGAUAAAUAAUAAAUGGCACACGGCGUACAGCGUACAGCGAGAAACAUCCCACUCAGCUGUUACGGGCUGUUCCGCCGGCUCCGGUCGGCCGAGGUGUUUCUGCCCACGCCGCUGCUUUCAUGCAUCUCAUUAUUCUAAUCUGGACUCUGACACGCCACUUUAUGAGUCAAUGAAAUAAAAUCGGGAUUAUAUAACGGAAGGUUAAAGCGGGGAUUGUUAACUGAGCUGAACUUUGAGCGGUGGGAGUUACAGCGGCAAUUAAAAUUUAACACGACGAGCGAGAAAGAAAAAAAAAAAAAAGCUGAGGAUUUGUGAGAAUGUAUCAUCACGGGAAAAGAAUGAAACCGUUUUUAUGCUUCGUGCCGUCGUUCGCUUGUGAAAAGGUGGACAGCGUUCGGUCUGCUACUUCUUGACAGAACCAAUUCAUUUGAUGCGAGUUUGGAUUGCAUGUUGUCGUGCUUAAAUUUCUUCCACAUUUUGUCACAUUAAACCACAAACUUCUGUAUA